AUUGAACGCUGGCGGCAUGCCUUACACAUGCAAGUCGAACGGUAACAGGUCUUCGGAUGCUGACGAGUGGCGAACGGGUGAGUAAUACAUCGGAACGUGCCUAGUAGUGGGGGAUAACUACUCGAAAGAGUGGCUAAUACCGCAUGAGAUCUACGGAUGAAAGCAGGGGAUCGCAAGACCUUGUGCUACUAGAGCGGCCGAUGGCAGAUUAGGUAGUCGGUGGGAUAAAAGCUUACCAAGCCGACGAUCUGUAGCUGGUCUGAGAGGACGAUCAGCUACACUGGGACUGAGACACGGCCCAGACUCCUACGGGAGGCAGCAGUGGGGAAUUUUGGACAAUGGGCGAAAGCCUGAUCCAGCAAUGCCGCGUGCAGGAUGAAGGCCUUCGGGUUGUAAACUGCUUUUGUACGGAACGAAAAGCCCUGGGUUAAUACCCUGGGGUCAUGACGGUACCGUAAGAAUAAGCACCGGCUAACUUCGUGCCAGCCGCCGCGGUAA
rnacentral:rRNA from 1 species